GAUGAACGCUGGCGGCGUGCUUAACACAUGCAAGUCGAACGGUGAAGCAGGAGCUUGCUCCUGUGGAUCAGUGGCGAACGGGUGAGUAACACGUGAGCAAUCUGCCCUGGACUCUGGGAUAAGCGUUGGAAACGACGUCUAAUACCGGAUACGAGGCGUGGGGGCAUCCCCAACGCCUGGAAAGAACUUCGGUCCAGGAUGAGCUCGCGGCCUAUCAGGUAGUUGGUGAGGUAACGGCUCACCAAGCCGACGACGGGUAGCCGGCCUGGGAGGGGGACCGGCCACACUGGGACUGAGACACGGCCCAGACUCCUACGGGAGGCAGCAGUGGGGAAUAUUGCACAAUGGGCGCAAGCCUGAUGCAGCAACGCCGCGUGAGGGACGACGGCCUUCGGGUUGUAAACCUCUUUUAGCAGGGAAGAAGCGAAAGUGACGGUACCUGCAGAAAAAGCACCGGCUAACUACGUGCCAGCCGCCGCGGUAAGAC
rnacentral:rRNA from 1 species